AUGGGAAUUUACCGCAAAUCGUCGUGGUUUCUUCUUGUUGUGAAUCAGGCGGGGUUUCAGGUCGUUCAUCGGGCCGCGGGGAUAAUUUUUUUGCGACUCUGUUUUUGCGGCAUUGUUCUGACAAUGUUCAAUUUGUUGGCGUUUCAGAUGGCCAAGGAUUUGCUAUGGGAACUGGCGCUCAUGGCGUGGCCUCUCCUCAAGGAGGAGGCCGCGGAGCUCGCCAAAAGCGUGCUCCGCGAGCUGGCGCGCGAGGAGGCCAAGACGCGGCUCAAGGCCGCCGUCAAGGCUGGGGCGGAGGGCCUCAAGGGCCUUCUCGAGGCGCCUCCAUCCACUGCGACUCCGGCGCCGGCGGCAGAGGUGGCCGACCCGCGUCGGGUGGAGCUGCUGGUCGACGGAGCGGCGGUCUGCAUCGACCACGCCCCUCUGCUGCUGCGUGGUGGACGGCUUCUCCAUCUCCCCCUCUUCGUCGACGACGUCGUCCUCGCCAGGGUGGCGCCCAGCCUCCUCGGUCGGCUCGGCCCGGAGAUGGGGCCGGCCGUUGAGGCGCUGCUGCGCGGCAAGCUGAUCGCCCCGGGGGUGCAGUCGGCUCUACGCUCCGGCCUGGAGCUGCCACCCGCCGUCAGGCAGAUGCUCGCGGCCAAGUUUGAGACGAGCGCCGUGCAGAGCCUCGAGUGCUCCUCGCUCAUCGCCUUCGCCGCCAGCCCUGCUUCCUCCAUCACGGAGGCGACAGCGGGUGCGGGUGCCCAGGCGCUCCCCAGCCUACAGGACUUCGUCGUGUGCGCGUCCGCUCUGGGGGUCAUCGCCCUCGCCCUGUACCUCAUCUGGAGGGGGCCGCGCGGCGGCGGCGACUGA
rnacentral:rRNA from 1 species